rnacentral:rRNA from 1 species
UACGGAGGGAGCUAGCGUUGUUCGGAAUUACUGGGCGUAAAGCGCACGUAGGCGGCUUUGUAAGUUAGAGGUGAAAGCCCGGAGCUCAACUCCAGAACUGCCUUUGAUACUGGGGAUCUCGAGUCCGGAAGAGGUGAGUGGAACUCCGAGUGUAGAGGUGAAAUUCGUAGAUAUUCGGAAGAACACCAGUGGCGAAGGCGGCUCACUGGUCCGGUACUGACGCUGAGGUGCGAAAGCGUGGGGAGCAAACAGG